GACGAACGCUGGCGGCGUGCUUAACACAUGCAAGUCGAACGGAAAGGCCCUGCUUUUGUGGGGUGCUCGAGUGGCGAACGGGUGAGUAACACGUGAGUAACCUGCCCUUGACUUUGGGAUAACUUCAGGAAACUGGGGCUAAUACCGGAUUGGAGCUCCUGCUGCAUGGUGGGGGUUGGAAAGUUUCGGCGGUUGGGGAUGGACUCGCGGCUUAUCAGCUUGUUGGUGGGGUAGUGGCUUACCAAGGCUUUGACGGGUAGCCGGCCUGAGAGGGUGACCGGCCACAUUGGGACUGAGAGACGGCCCAGACGCCUACGGGAGGCAGCAGUGGGGAAUAUUGCACAAUGGGCGGAAGCCUGAUGCAGCAACGCCGCGUGCGGGAUGACGGCAUUCGGGUUGUAAACCGCUUUCGCCUGUGACGAAGCGUGAGUGACGGUAAUGGGUAAAGAAGCACCGGCUAACUACGU
rnacentral:rRNA from 1 species